rnacentral:rRNA from 1 species
AAGAUAGCAUAUCAAUAAGCGGAGGAAAAGAAACCACCACGGAUUGCCCUAGUAACGGCGAGUGAAGCGGCAACAGCUCAAAUUUGAAAUCUGGCCUCGGCCCGAGUUGUAAUUUGCAGAGGAUGCUUCUGGCGCGGUGCCUUCCGAGUUCCCUGGAACGGGACGCCACAGAGGGUGAGAGCCCCGUAUGGUCGGACACCAAGCCUGUGUGAAGCUCCUUCGACGAGUCGAGUAGUUUGGGAAUGCUGCUCUAAAUGGGAGGUAAAUCUCUUCUAAAGCUAAAUACCGGCCAGAGACCGAUAGCGCACAAGUAGAGUGAUCGAAAGAUGAAAAGCACCUUGAAAAGGGGGUUAAAUAGUACGUGAAAUUGUUGAAAGGGAAGCACUUGUGACCAGACUUGGGCCGGGCGGCUCAUCAGGGGUUCUCCCCUGUGCACUCCGCCCGGCACAGGCCAGCAUCAGUUCUCGUGGGGGGAUAAGACCGUCAGGAACGUAGCACCCUCCGGGGUGUGUUAUAGCCUGGCGGACGAUACCCCCGUGGGGACUGAGGUUCGCGCUCCGCAAGGAUGCUGGCGUAAUGGUCACCAGUGACCCGUCUUGAAACACGGACCAAGGAGUCGUCCAUUAGAGCGAGCGUUUGGGUGUAAAACCCGCACGCGUAAUGAAAGUGAACGCAGGUGAGAGCUUCGGCGCAUCAUCGACCGAUCCUGAUGUUCUCGGAAGGAUUUGAGUAAGAGUUUUAACGGACGGACCCGAAAGACAGUGAACUAUGCUUGUAUAGGGUGAAGCCAGAGGAAACUCUGGUGGAGGCUCGCAGCGGUUCUGACGUGCAAAUCGAUCGUCAAAUAUGAGCAUGGGGGCGAAAGACUAAUCGAACUGUCUAGUAACUGGUUACGCCAU